rnacentral:rRNA from 1 species
ACGCGUAAGGGGCAAGCGUUGUUCGGAAUUAUUGGGCGUAAAGGGCGCGUAGGCGGUUUUACAAGUCUGGUGUGAAAGACCUCAGCUUAACUGAGGGACCGCGCUGGAAACUGUAAGACUAGAAUCUAGGAGGGGAAGCUGGAAUUCCUGGUGUAGGGGUGAAAUCUGUAGAUAUCAGGAAAAACACCGGUGGCGAAGGCGAGCUUCUGGCCAUAGCUUGACGCUGAGGCGCGAAAGCGUGGGGAGCGAACAGGAUUAGAAACCCCAGUAGUCC